GGCCGAGUGGCAAAAUGGUUACUGCGUUGCUUUCCGACCACGUGAUUACGUAACUUGGAGGCAGAGACUGUGGGUUCGAGUCCCACCUUGGUCG